rnacentral:lncRNA from 1 species
CACCAGGGAUGGGAAUCCAGAACUGGAAGGCUGAAAAGAUCAUCACGGUCACUCUGCUCGAAGAGUAAUAAUUUCUGUUUCAAUUUUAUCUGCAUGAAAGCCUUACGUGUUGCCCGACACGUAAUGGUUCAUUGUAAGGGCCACCUCAUGUUUAACUUUGCAAAUUUCUUGCAUCAUUAAUAAAAGGAUGUUUUUCAAUUAAA